UUUGCCUGUAGUAAAUGGAACAGGUUGGGAAACUAUGAGAAGAUAUUACUUCAACAAAAAGGAGAAUAGAUGUAAACAUUUCAUGUGCGCUGGAAAAGGAAGGAACGGCAAUAACUUUCCCAGUAUCGAAAAA